GGCUGGAGAAGGACUUGAGCGCUGCGGCGCGGGGACUACCGAGCUGGACUGACAACCCGCAGGUCCUUGAGGCUGAGGCCUUCCGGUCGCUGGGAGGGGCCCGGGGAGCGCCCAGGCAGAGGUUUUUCGCCGCCGGCCUUCCCCGCUUUGGGGCCUCGCAGACGCAGCUCGCCCGCCCAGGCUAGUUCCGGAAACCGUCUGCUGCUCAACUAAAAUUCCGGUUGCCUGAGUUACUGCCUGGAUGGUGGUAGUACGCGGAACUCCAAAUUGUGUGACAGGUCUCCAUAAAAACUUGAAGACUGGAAGAAAGAGAAGAAAGAGGAGGGGGAGGCUGAACGUCCAUUUCUUCUGCGCCACUCCUUAUCUGGGACUUCUCUGAGGCACGUGCCCGUCUCACCUCCCGCAUCUGCAGCUUUUAAUGCUGAAUUACAAGUUAAGGUUGAGACAGAAAUCAAAACAGACGGGCUACAAAGCCCAUAGUGUAGCGUGCUUGUCACUGCAUGAAGAACUGCAGCUUGGAGUUAGCUGCCACAGCCCAGAAGCAGCAGUGUUGGGUGUGUCCCAAGAACACCAAAGCUUUCAGAAAUGAAAAAGCUUGUCUUCUGUCUUUUACUUAUUUUUGUUUUUUUGUUCUUCUGGUAUCUUCUUUUGGAAACAAUACCAUGAUUUAAAAGUCAUAAUAGGGCUCUGGACAGCUCAGUACCACAGUAUUUGCCUUGCAAACACAAGGGACUGUGCUCAAUUCUCAGCACCAAACAGCUACAACAGGCACAAUCACCCUUUCCAACUCCAGCAACCAAAUGUCGCCUCUUCCAGUCAUGUUUCAAGAUGGCAGAGAUCAAAUUUCUCUAUACCCUCAGUCAAUAUCAGAAGAGUGAUAAUGGAAAGCUUAUGGUCUUCUUGUCUAGAAUUUUCUAUGAAUUGCUUCACAUUUUGCUUUUAUGAACAGCUAAUUUUGAGCUGGCUGGCUCAGUGGGUCAACAUUUCUUAGCUUCGUGGCAUGAGCUUGAUCCUAGGACCCACAUGGUGGAAGAAAAACCAAUUCUUGCAAGUUUUCCUUUGUCCUACAUAUGUACAUGUAUGUAUGUGCAUUCACAUACUAAAUGUAAAAAAAUAGGGAGUUUAACAUGCUUAGAAGUGUGAGUAACAUUGCUGCUGAAACACUAGAAUUUCCAUUUUAAAGAGUUUUAAAGGGCAAAAAAAAUACUAAAAUCACCACUUUGUCUCUCUGUGUUCCUAAAUAAAAUAAAAUAAAGUGCUGUAGUAGUUA